rnacentral:rRNA from 1 species
CCCUUAGAUGUUCUGGGCCGCACGCGCGCUACACUGUUCGACGCAGCGAGUCUUAACCUUGACCGAAAGGUUUGGGUAAUCUUCAGCAAAGUCGAACGUGAUGGGGACCGAUCAUUGCAAUUAUUGAUCGUGAACGAGGAAUUCCUAGUAAGUGCAAGUCAUCAGCUUGCGCUGAUUACGUCCCUGCCCUUUGUACACACCGCCCGUCGCUACUACCGAUUGAAUGGUUUAGUGAGAUCUCUGGAUUGACGCUGGCUAGGGGGCGACCCUUGGCCAGACUGCUCGGGAAACUGCUCAAACUUGAUCAUUUAGAGGAAGUAAAAGUCGUAACA